GAUGAACGCUGGCGGCGUGCCUAAUACAUGCAAGUAGAACGCUGAAGGAAGGAGCUUGCUCUUUCCGGAUGAGUUGCGAACGGGUGAGUAACGCGUAGGUAACCUGCCUGGUAGCGGGGGAUAACUAUUGGAAACGAUAGCUAAUACCGCAUAACAGUAGAUGUUGCAUGAUAUCUACUUAAAAGGUGCAAUUGCACCACUACCAGACGGACCUGCGUUGUAUUAGCUAGUUGGUGAGGUAACGGCUCACCAAGGCGACGAUACAUAGCCGACCUGAGAGGGUGAUCGGCCACACUGGGACUGAGACACGGCCCAGACUCCUACGGGAGGCAGCAGUAGGGAAUCUUCGGCAAUGGACGGAAGUCUGACCGAGCAACGCCGCGUGAGUGAAGAAGGUUUUCGGAUCGUAAAGCUCUGUUGUAAGAGAAGAACGAGUGUGAGA
rnacentral:rRNA from 1 species